GAACACUACAUUCAAGUUGCAAGUCUGCAGACGGUUGAUGCCAGAACUGACCAAAUGUGCCAGACAGGACAUUACUACCUGUCCUUUGGCGAGGCAAGAGAAGGCGGAGGACUACUGUGUCUCCUGUAACAUGUUGCACUACGAUCGAGACCAAAGCAUCAUUGAUAUGAUACAAUGUGACGUCUGCCCAAGAUGGACUGUGCUACCCACUUUGUUUGGAGCUUCAGGUGCAGAAAGUGCCACUUAAAUUAAGCUUUUUUGUUUGUUUGUUUGUUUGUUUUAUUGUCUUGUUGAUUGUUAAUUUGCUAUAAAGGCUAUGUUAUAUGUGAUCAAGUUAAUUUUCAAAUUUUGAUUUUCAUUUGCAUGGUGCAAAUGGAAAUGCCACUUUUAUGGGAGACAGUGUGAAGG